rnacentral:rRNA from 1 species
ACGGGAGGCAGCAGUGGGGAAUAUUGGGCAAUGGGCGCAAGCCUGACCCAGCGACGCCGCGUGAGGGAAGAAGGUCUUCGGAUUGUAAACCUUUGUAGACAGGGACGAAACAAAUGACGGUACCUGUAAAGUAAGCCACGGCUAACUACGUGCCAGCAGCCGCGGUAAUACGUAGGUGGCGAGCGUUAUCCGGAUUUACUGGGUGUAAAGGGUGUGUAGGCGGGGAAGCAAGUCAGAUGUGAAAUACCGAGGCUUAACUUCGGUACUGCAUUUGAAACUGCAUCUCUUGAGAGUCGGAGAGGUUAUCGGAAUUCCCAGUGUAGCGGUGAAAUGCGUAGAUAUUGGGAGGAACACCAGUGGCGAAGGCGGAUAACUGGACGACAACUGACGCUGAGACACGAAAGCGUGGGGAGCAAACAGGAUUAGAUACCCUGGUA